rnacentral:rRNA from 1 species
UACGGAGGGUGCGAGCGUUGUUCGGAAUCACUGGGCGUAAAGCGCGUGUAGGCGGCCCAUUAAGUCUGAUGUGGAAGCCCGGGGCUCACCCCCGGAAGUGCAUUGGAAACUGAUGGACUAGAGUCCCGGAGAGGAGAGUGGAAUUCCUGGUGUAGCGGUGAAAUGCGCAGAUAUCAGGAAGAACACCUAUGGCGAAGGCAGCACUCUGGGACGGUACUGACGCUGAGACGCGAAAGCGUGGGGGGCGAACAGG